AACGAACGCUGGCGGCAUGCCUAACACAUGCAAGUCGAACGAGAUCUUCGGGUCUAGUGGCGCACGGGUGCGUAACGCGUGGGAAUCUGCCCUUUGGUUCGGAAUAACGGUUGGUAACGACUGCUAAUACCGGAUGAUGACGAAAGUCCAAAGAUUUAUCGCCAGAGGAUGAGCCCGCGUAGGAUUAGCUAGUUGGUGUGGUAAAGGCGCACCAAGGCGACGAUCCUUAGCUGGUCUGAGAGGAUGAUCAGCCACACUGGGACUGAGACACGGCCCAGACUCCUACGGGAGGCAGCAGUGGGGAAUAUUGGACAAUGGGCGAAAGCCUGAUCCAGCAAUGCCGCGUGAGUGAUGAAGGCCUUAGGGUUGUAAAGCUCUUUUACCCGGGAUGAUAAUGACAGUACCGGGAGAAUAAGCUCCGGCUAACUCCGUGCCAGCCGCCGCAGUAAAAC
rnacentral:rRNA from 1 species